UUGUACAGCUACAACCUCAAACCAGCUCAACGGUAUAUAACUUUCUCACUUGUUUCACAUACACAAAAUAAUUUUUCUAACAUUUAUGUACACGUUUUAUAGGGUCAUUUGGAGUUUAUGAAAAAUCAAAUGGGUGCAUACCAAUUACAGUACAGCCCAUUUGUAAAUGCUUCGCUUGGUACUGCCAUCUCCAUGUCACCACACGAACAAAGAAUGUUGACAGGAUUCCAACCAUAUAAUACACUAAUGGAUCAUCCCACAAAUCAGAUGGACAUAUAUUUACAACAGAACAACUCAACUCCGAUUUACGCACAGCAACAAACAAUUGGGACUUCUGCUUCUACUAUGAUGGCGCAACAAAAUCAUGCCUUCUUACAACAGAACUCAACUCCGAUUUACUCAGACCAACAAACCAUUGGGCCCUCUAGUUCUACUAUGAUGGCACGACAACAGCAAGCCUUCUUCGAUCAAUUGAAGCCAAAUUAGUCAAUAUGUUGUCUAGAGUUUUAUCUCUUGUUUCGAAGCAAAAUUGAACCAGCCUAUGCAUAUCAAUGAAACUAGCAACUAUGUUCACAA